CUUCAUCCAAACUGCCACAUUUAACAUACAUAUCCAAAAGGGCAUUCAUUAAGACAACGUCAUUAUCUAAAUUCUCUCUAGAAAUUCUCUUGUGAAUCAGUUUACCCAGUUCAAUAUCGCCCACAUGACCACAAGCUUUUAAAACAACUGAAUACAUGAAUCCAUUGGGCACCUCGGCUUUAGAAUCUAACAUCUGGAUGUACAGUUUGAUAGCUUCAUGAGGUUUUCCGCUGAUGGUAUACGCAGAGACCAUCGUGGUCCAAGUAACGAUAUUUUUAUCAGGCAUUUCAUCGAACAUUUUAUGUGCGUCCUCCAGAAAGGAGCAAUCAACAUACAUUGAUAUCAAAUUGCUGGCCAUAUAUACAUUAUGAGAAUACCCAGUUUUAAUCAGACGAGAGUGAAAUGAUUUUCCAUGUUUCAGUAUUUGAACUCGCCCACAAUGGCGUAUAGCUGCCGCGAUAUGCUUCAAGUCCAUAUGGGCACAGUUUCCAUAUAUUGUCACUCCAAUAAUCUCUCGAAGAGGAGUUCUACCCUCAGAAGUCAAAAGUGUUGGAACACAUAACUUUGAAUCAAAGAAGUGCUUUCUCAGUUCUCACCAUUCUAAUGCCAAGUAGCAUACCGAAAGAAUGUUUGUUCAUGUGCAGAUGCGGCCAUAUUAAUUUCCAGUUCUAUUUGCGGUCGUUCCCUGUGGACUUUGUCGCUUUUUUUUUUU
rnacentral:misc_RNA from 1 species